GCGCUCGGGGGGCGCGGCCCGGGCUCAGGCGCCGGCGGUACCGGGAGCCCGAGUGAGAAGGGAGCAGGAGGGCAGCGUCAUACCCGGGCACCUUCCCGCUGGAGGACAGUCGGAAACCAGAUCCAGAGCCCACAGCCUCGGGCAGUGCUUUCUACUAAAGAAAAUGUCGAAUGAAAAGUAUUAUGUUAAUAAAGAUAUAAAUAUAUAAAUUAUAUAUAAAUAUAUAAAUUAAUUAAUUGCGAUGACUAUUGCAACCGAGAAUGGCUCUGCAGAGCACUCCAUCCCUUGUCCUCCCAGCUGUGCUUUCCCCGGCCUUGAAGUGUGAAGGACGGCCCCGUGCCCAGCGCACAGUGUGCCCGGUGCGGAUCGCUGUCCCCCACCUGCGGGCACUGCUUGGCCUCUUGAACGAAUCGGCAUCGGAAGGGAAAGGUCGUGUGUUUCCAGCAUGUGAGAACAGGCACAGAUUUUCUAGUCAUCUAAGGACCAAGUCACCUAUUUGGUGUUCCUAGUUGAGCAAUAAGAG
rnacentral:lncRNA from 1 species